rnacentral:misc_RNA from 1 species
AGAGAAGCCACGAGGGCUCUGGAUGUAAGUUUUGUUUCUCUUACAACUUUGAUAUUUUUGUUGGUUUGAGCAAGUACUUAUUAUUUAAGAUGGUCAGCAGUAUCAUUUUUAUCUUUUUGGCUUGUUAAUUGUUUAGAUGGUCUGUUUACUGCUCCGGAAGUGGCAGACAGACUUUGGUUAGUCAAACAAAAAAUGCUACCCUCCAGACCAUUAACUACUGUGUGUGUGUGUGUGUAGGGGAGUGUGCUAGCGUGUUCAUAUUUCCCUUCUUUUUCCUGGAUGGAAUGAGUGCUGAGAACUUCUGUAGCCCAUCAUUUCCAUUGAAUUGAUCUUUUCAUCCCUGCACUCUAAGUUGCGCUUUUUUCUUUUUUCUUUAUCUUUUUUAAUAUUGUUUGUUGUUUUAGAUUUUAACUAUACAACUGGAACAAGGUAAAUUUCUUUUUGAGUCGCAUAUUUUUUUGUCUUGGAUCUGUCGACCUCAAUCUGUGUGAUUAAUAUCACUUUUAGUGCUGAUUUCAGAACUUUCUAGCUUAUAUGGCCAAAGUCUUGCUGAUGUCAUUUUCUUUCAAGUGUGCACUUGUUGAUAUUUUAGGCUAAUAAGAGAUGGUACUUCGGUGCGGAUUAUUUUUAUUUAUUUAUUUUUUUUUAAAGUUUUGUAGAGCUUGACCGAUGUAGACUUCUUGAUGGUGUAUCAAUAUUUGUUAUUAAUUUUGUUUUGUGAAUUCCAG